rnacentral:rRNA from 1 species
GCUAGUGACCAUUCGAAGCAGAAAACAUCGAUCCUCAUUUGAUCACUGAAGAUAAGCUACGUUGGGCCCGGUUAAUACUUGCAUGGGUGACCGGCUAAUAAAAUCAGGUGUCAGUGAUA